ACCGCUUUGUUAUCCUCGCAUAAUGUUACAUUUAAGGAUAAAUAUGAAUUUAAUUUAAUACAUUUAGAUUUUUUUUUCUAUACAAAUUACUUGCAUUUAUAAUCGAUUCUUUUUUUUUUAACUUGUCACUUCUUAUUGUUCUUUUUUUUUUAUCUCUUACUAAUUAAAUAUGUUUGUACUUUCAAAUUUUUAUUCAAAAUAUGUGUAAUUUGUGUUAAUGAUUGACAUUAAAAAAUUU
rnacentral:lncRNA from 1 species